rnacentral:rRNA from 1 species
AACGUACGCUGGCGGCACGCCUAACACAUGCAAGUCGAACGAAGUAGCAAUACUUAGUGGCAGACGGGUGAGUAACAUGUAGGUAUCUUCCCUUUGGCCUGGAAUAACACGAGGAAACUUGUGCUAAUACCGGAUAAGUCUUCACAGAGAAAGCUUUAUGCACCAUUGGAUGAGCCUGCACUUGAUUAGUUUGUUGGUAGGGUAAUGGCCUACCAAGACUGUGAUCAAUAGCUGAUUUGAGAGGAUGAUCAGCCACAUUGGGACUGAGACACGGCCCAAACUCCUACGGGAGGCAGCAGUGGGGAAUCUUGCACAAUGGAGGAAACUCUGAUGCAGCGAUGCCGCGUGAGUGAAGAAGGCCCUUGGGUUGUAAAGCUCUUUCGUCGGGGAAGAAAAUGACUGUACCCGAAUAAGAAGGUCCGGCUAACUUCGUGCCAGCAGCCGCGGUAAUACGAAGGGACCUAGCGUAGUUCGGAAUUACUGGGCUUAAAGAGUUCGUAGGUGGUUGAAAAAGUUGGUGGUGAAAUCCCAGAGCUUAACUCUGGAACUGCCAUCAAAACUUUUCAGCUAGAGUUUGAUAGAGGAAAGCAGAAUUUCUAGUGUAGAGGUGAAAUUCGUAGAUAUUAGAAAGAAUACCAAUUGCGAAGGCAGCUUUCUGGAUCAUUACUGACACUGAGGAACGAAAGCAUGGGUAGCGAAGAGGAUUAGAUACCCUCGUAGUCCAUGCCGUAAACGAUGUGUGUUAGACGUUGGAAAUUUAUUUUCAGUGUCGCAGCGAAAGCGAUAAACACACCGCCUGGGGAGUACGACCGCAAGGUUAAAACUCAAAUGAAUUGACGGGGACCCGCACAAGUAGUGGAGCAUGUGGUUUAAUUCGAAGAUACGCGCAGAACCUUACCAACACUUGACAUGUUCGUCGCGACUUUAAGAGAUUAAAGUUUUCGGUUCGGCCGGACGAAACACAGGUGCUGCAUGGCUGUCGUCAGCUCGUGUCGUGAGAUGUUGGGUUAAGUCCCGCAACGAGCGCAACCCUCACUUUUAGUUGCCAUCAUUAAGUUGGGCACUCUGAAAGAACUGCCAGUGAUAAGCUGGAGGAAGGUGGGGAUGACGUCAAGUCCUCAUGGCCCUUACGUGUUGGGCUACACACGUGCUACAAUGGUAUCUACAACAGGAAGCAAGACGGCGACGUUAAGCAAAUCCUUAAAAGAUACCUCAGUUCGGAUUGCACUCUGCAACUCGAGUGCAUGAAGCUGGAAUUACUAGUAAUCGUGGAUCAGCGUGCCACGGUGAAUGCGUUCCCGGGUCU